CCGGUGUAGGCUUAUCAACCCAGAUAGAAAACCGCCAUUGGAAUGGCUGACCGUGAAAGGAAGUAAGCAAUGGGAAACUUAUUAGUUGGAGAGAAAAUUCCGUAAAUAAGACUUCAAUCGUACUCUGUAAUUCACCUGACACUCACGCUUCAUGGUUCCCAAAAAGGAAAAAGGACAAGGAGAACACUUGAACGUGUUUUUUCAAAACAAAGUACAUGUAGAUAACAGUAUUUUCCAUAAUACUAACUUAAAUGAGCUUUAAAGAAGUACUAUACUAUUUCCACAAAGAAACACUCACUAAGAAGUCAUCUGAAGUUUCUAUAAAAUGCUCACUCUAUUCCCUAAUACAAUGUGUUACCUUCCCUUUGAUUGCUUUUGGAACAAUAAGGCUGAUUACUGCAGCUACAGGAAACUAGCAUGCAUUAACAUUACACGGAGAACAUCAAGGCCACAUUCGAGUAACCGAUCAUCCCCGGUGGUUUAAAAGGCGAUUUUGGGGCGAGUACGGGGGCGCAUUAGGACGUUGACGGAAGGCGUAGUUCCAUUAGGCGCGCGCGCCCAGGAACAAAACGCACCUCUAUGUAAAGAAUUAUCCUCACUCCUCAGACCUCAAGGGUCUGUGCGCUUUAUCACUAGUACUACAAGUCUACAAGAUAUAACAGCUCCCUCUCACUGCUCUUUACACUUGGUUCUUACUACUUGUGGCAAAUGAACAUUUCAGAAGAUUCGUAUGUUCACUAGUUGAUUGACUGAAUAAAAAUAUGUGCUUACUUUAUUAACUAGAAACAACGUAGAACUUAAUAUCUACGGGACUAACAUCCGAGAAAAUCCAUGGGAUUUACGCCGGUGCCUUUUAAUACAAAAGUGAAAAGGAAGUAACAUAUAGAACAAACGAAGUGUGUAGACAGCCUUUAACAUUCUCUACACCCACCGCAUUGAGCAGAACACAUUGGAUGUGACUUUCAAAAAAAACCAAGCAUACAACGAGCAGAAAAGGAAGAUGUAUCAAAAAAGAAAAAAAAAAAACUAGAGAUAGCGAUAUACAUGAUGUGAAGGAGCAAGAGAUUUCCAGAGAGGAAGCAAAUCAUUAUUAUAGGUAGUGACCCAAGCAUCUUCUAAUAAUAACCUGAAUUUGAAUGGCAAAAAAAAUUGAGAAGCUCAGCAGACUGAGCCCAAAUUCUGGCGGUUAUUUUACUAGAAAAAAAUGUCUGUUCGUUCGCGGGGUGGGGGUCAAUUUCUUCUCGAAAUAAUGAAAACGAUGAGCCAUACAUUGCAAAGUCUCUGACGCAU
rnacentral:lncRNA from 1 species